UCAGACUGGUGCUAGAUUGUCAGGUCGGAGCAGCAGCUGCUACUUGUUUAACUCAAAAACAAGGUGGCUUCAUUGUGGAAUUCAAGAUCUAUGUGCCAUCCCACCUCCUCCUGGCAGCUGGGAGGGUGUUGGGAACAGGGGAAAAGACACUGACCCAGAAAAAUGUCAUCCAGAUGCCAAGAAGACCAGUGAUGAUUAGUCACUCUAAUCGUCAGGAAUGGAGGACGAACACAACAUACAGUCAGGCAACUAGCAGAGUGGUUCAGCAACUGAAUGGUACCCAUCCACCAAGAAUUCUGACCAGAAUGGGUCCAUCAAGCUUUCAAGGCCUGGCCAGCACAUACCCCAAGGACAACACAGAAUGAGCCAAGCUUCAGGGAUGAUUUUGAAAGACUGGAGUCUCACUUAGCUGGGAUUUUCUCAGUUGGCCUGUCUGAAUCCAUGCAUAAGCUGAACUAAAUGUUACAAAGUGUAAACCUGAAACAACUCAGCAGAGUCAGUGGGUUACUCUGGAUAUGUGGUUAUGUAAAACACAUGAUUUUGCCAGAUGCAUUUGGGAAAUCAAGGACAAACAUAUGCAUGCCUGAUGACUUGGAACUUUUGAACCUAAAAAGAAGGCAACUGAAAGGUCUUGAAGUACCAGUUUGAAAUAAAGUAAAAAUAAGCUGUUUUACGAGAGCCAAAUUGACCCCAGGGAGUUCAGUGGCGUCACAUCAGUGAUUACUUGACUGCCAAGACUACAGGCUAAAUUAAUCUUGUCUCUAAAGAAGCAAAUCCACAGCCCUUCAGCAGAAUCAUUGAACAGUAGGUUGGAAGGGACCACCAGAGGU